rnacentral:lncRNA from 1 species
CAUUUUCAAACAGACAUCUGCAAUAGUACGAACAAUACCCCAACCAUUAGACAAACUUAAGUUCAUUUGGGAAGCCAAAUCAGCAGGCUUAUAAGCUACAACACCCAAAAUGCCGUGGUGCUGAGCGUCACGGGCAUUUGAACGACUGACAAAACCAACCUUCAUGCUAUCAACACCAGCCAAUAAAGCUUCGACAGUCCAACGGGCAAGCUUGCAACUAUUGUUCUUCAUUUCAGUGGCAAACACAGCACCUCUUUGACUUUCGAGCUUGGAACGCCAAUCCACAGAACCAGUAACAUUUGUAAAUUUGGGAUCGUACUCAUUAAGAGCCUUGAUAGAAAUGUAUUGAACAUCGUUCGCAGGAUUUUUAACAUAACCGUCAACUUCGGUACGAACCAUUAGCUUAACAGGCUUUUCGUCUGUCUCGAGAGAAAGAUCAACAUCCCGAUAGAUAUAACCGUGAGCAGCCAAUGGCUCACUUUCUUCCUUAGAAUUAUAGAAGGGAUUGGGAUGAGGUAAUUUAUAUUUCUCUUCUUCGGUUUCACGUAAAGCUUGGACGCAGAAGUUUUGGUUAAUGUACGUAGCUUCGACAGAAAGGGCUCCAGGAGAAUUAACACCUUCGCGGUUGUCAGCGUCCAUGGGAGAAUCGUAUGCGUUUUCAUUGACAGUGAGAUAAUCAAAAGGUCCGCCUUCACGUUUGUCAAAGAAUAGCUUUCCACUUUGGUGAGUAAUUACAAUAUCCCAGGGAUACACUGAGCGAGUUGAACACAUCAAUAAAGACAAAAUGGAAUCCGUAAUGAAAAUGUUAGCAUCACUAUUAAGAGCGAGUUUUUGGAUAACGGGGUCUUCAGUAGUGGUAGGGUUGUAAUGAACACGGUCCAAGGCUUGUAAUGGUUUUUCUGAUUUAACAUGAAUCUUGUCAAAAGAUUUGUCAUAAGGAUAAAUAUAACCAUAUGAAUCCACAGUAACAGGAGCAGCAGCAGCUAAAUUGAGCUUAGAUAAAUGGCUGAACUCAACCUCGUCAAGAAGCUGCCAGUCGUCACCAACAGUAACACUGGCGUUGCGAAGACGUUGAUGUUUAUCAUAAUCCUUCCAACCAAACCGACGACCUCUUGCUCCUCCAGCGCCUGAGGAUCUAGAAACCACUGUAUCACCUGCACCUCUUCCACCAGAAGAACCGUAGCGACCGCCACGACCACCUCGUUGAACGUUUUGUCCUCUACCGCGAACCUUCAAUAAAGUGCCGCCGUUGCGAGCGGAAGUGCGUGUACGAUUGACAGAACCACGAUCGAUCACCGAGAAACUGGAUUCGUCCUCCGAAUGCUGAUAACCAAAAAUGGACGACGCGCCAUAACCAUAAGUUUGAUAUUGGUCACGGAAACGACCAGCAAAUGCUCCUUGACGUCCACGUUGUUCACGUCCAUCUUUAGGUUGAUCAACAGACCAAUCUGCAAUUUUUCCAAGACGGUCACCUUUACUAAAAGGAGCAUAAGGAAUAUCACCUCCUAUCUGUUCCGUUUCAGGAGGUCCCCAUGCUGAUUUUACGGGUGCUAACUCAGGCAAUUUAAAUCCAGUUGCCAUUUGGGAGUGGUGAAGUUUUCUUCGAAGUGGACGCCAGUAUAGUGUGCAAACGAACUGGGAGACGCUAAAACACCAAAGCCAACAAUGGUAAUAUUUGAAGUUCUAAAGCUUUAUUUGUAAUACAAAAGUACUUAAAUGUAAUAUAUAUACUUUUUGGUUCGUGAAAAAGUUAAAUGUUAUACAUUUCCUUUUGCAAUCAAGGUGCUAUAUUUGUAGAAAAACUACAUCUAUUAACAAUUAGUAUAUGUUACUGUAUUUAUCAAACUACUUCUUUAUUUGUGAACCCACAUGCCUAUUCAGAAGACGAUAUGUGGAAAUCUCAACCACUCACUACAUUAUAAAACUAUAGUAGGUAGAAUUACUUUAUCAUACUAGCAGGUUAUAUCAGCACUAAAUGUUAUUAAAUUAAAAAAUGGGAGAAAUUGAUAUUGAAAUAAAAGAUAUGUUAUGCUAUAAUUUAAAACUGAUUACGACAUCAGACUUUGCCUUUAUAGUCAUUGUCUCAAGGCUUAAAUGUUUCUGACAAAAGCAUGUUUUAGAAAAUUUUAAUUUCGUCAACGCUGUCUUUUGAAGAAAGAAAAAAAUGAACGCCAAGGUUCUCAGACAUUCUCUCUUUUCUGUCAUCACAUGUCGCAUAAAAAAUAUACACAUCUAAUCCUAUUAAAACAAUUGUUUGCGAAGAAAUUAAUGUAUAAAAACGGAAAGCACCAAAUAUUAAGCAGUGUUAAAUGACCGCAAAAGCUGCUAAGUAGCAAAGGAGAGAGUUUAGUGCAUCACAUGAUAAAGGAUCGCAUUGACAGCCUAGCACACGCAAGGAAAAAGAAUGAUAAAGUAUGAAUUUAAAAUAUUAAUAAUAAUGAUGGAAAUAUGUGAGGUCUCUAUUAAAGAAACGGAACUAACUUCCUCCAACCCCGUUUUCUUUGCGCUAAUCCCUUAUAAUGAUUUAUUUCAUCUAGGCAGUCCCUUCCAUAAUUACAGCCUGCCAAGUUUACCAAGAAGUCUCCUUCUUUUUGGUUAUAAAAGAAACGAGGAUUUUCACCUUCACCAGCACAAGCACCUGGAGGAUAUGAAUUGAAAAGGCGAAGAGGAACGAAUCCCAUGCCGCUUCGAAGCCAAGCAUUAUUCUCGUAGAAGUACUCAAUUGCAUUUUGCUCAUCGUGAGGCCAAUCCAUGUGCUUUUGCCCAUAGACUACUGGAUCCCAAAGGAAGUCCAUCAAUCUGCUAGUCCAAUCACUUCGACGAACCAGAAAAGAACCCAAACUGAAACCGUUGCAAUCUUGCCCUAAAAUAAAGUUGAUAUCUUCACUAUAGUCAACAAAUGGAAUUUCGUGGAAAUUUUUUGGAUUGAACUCCAUGCUAUCAGUAAUAUUCCUGGUCGCAAUAUGGUCAAGUCUGUUAAUAAUAAGCUUUUCAAGAGAAUAUUGAGGUUCCAUGAUGAAUGUUGUUAAAUCGACCCACCAAAACCAUUCAGCAUGAGGGUAUUUCUUCAUGGCUUCCAUGAUAUAAUCUGCUUUUUCCCAAGAUUCACGCCAUUCAUGAGCAUAUCGUCUCUUUAAGCCUGUGCUCUUCACAAAGAAAUGAUAUCCGUGCCUUUCAGCGUAUUUCUUCUUGUUCUCCGUUGAAAUCUUCUCCAGCUCCCAUUGUCUGGGACUUUUUACAUCUAAAACGCCACCUCCGAUGUUAUUGACAAAUAUCAUAACAACAUUACUCUCUUUGGGACGCGUCAAGAGUGUAUGCUUUAAAAAGUAGCCUGAGCAGAGCAACAGUACCACAAAGACGAAUAACCUAUGUAGAUGCGUCUUGGUAAAAUACUUCCUUCUAGUAUCACCUUCUUUGGAAUCAAGUACAUUGGAAGUGCCUGGCUUAGGGUAAGGAAAGGAUUUAAACUUAGCUAAUGCUUCUGACUUCUUUUUGGGGUUCCACAUUUUUUAAUAUAAUAUAAGACUCGACGUUUACGUUAAUUCUUCUUAUUAACCUUUAAAUUAUAUAUUUUCGAAUGAUAAUAUGACUACGGCAAUGCCGUUUGAGGUUUCACACAGAACUAGGCUGUUUGGCAAAGGCGAAAGUCGUGAGCAAGUAACGUCCCAGUGUAUCAAAGCUGGCAUAGCCUUGUCGUCGAGUAAAUAGCCAAAGUACGCGAUAACGUCGGUAAAGUUAAGUAGAUUCUGAUUGCAUAAUUUUAUUUAUUUGUUUACUCAAAAAGUUUUAGCACUUUUAUUCUCGCGUUCAUCUACUCAGAUAUGCUAAAUAAAUUAGCGAUAGAAAUUUUCCAUAAAAUAUGUCAGUUGCAAAGACUCUGACAGAUUUCUCAUGGUUUGACGAUGAAGGUAUUUAGUUUAGUAAACAAAUAAUUAUCAGCUACCAACUAAUUUAACAAUUCUGUUUUAGGAAAAGUGUAAACAACCAUGAGAAGGAAACUUGGCAGCAACUCGAAUUAAGGAUUCGGCAUGUAAAAAAUUAGAUAUUGUUAAACAAUCAUUCUAAUGUAA